UAAGAUCCGUAGGAUUCUACCCUACAUCCCCUGAAUGCAACUCAGAUACUUUAAUUAAGCCAGGACCUUA
rnacentral:tRNA from 1 species